rnacentral:rRNA from 1 species
GAAAGGGAAACAGCCCAGACCACCAGCUAAGGUCCCAAAAUAUAUGUUAAGUGGAAAAGGAUGUGGCGUUGCCCAGACAACUAGGAUGUUGGCUUAGAAGCAGCCAUCAUUUAAAGAGUGCGUAAUAGCUCACUAGUCGAGUGACACUGCGCCGAAAAUGUACCGGGGCUAAACAUAUUACCGAAGCUGUGGAUUGUCCUUUGGACAAUGGUAGGAGAGCGUUCUAAGGGCGUUGAAGCAUGAUCGUAAGGACAUGUGGAGCGCUUAGAAGUGAGAAUGCCGGUGUGAGUAGCGAAAGACGGGUGAGAAUCCCGUCCACCGAUUGACUAAGGUUUCCAGAGGAAGGCUCGUCCGCUCUGGGUUAGUCGGGUCCUAAGCUGAGGCCGACAGGCGUAGGCGAUGGAUAACAGGUUGAUAUUCCUGUACCACCUAUAAUCGUUUUAAUCGAUGGGGGGACGCAGUAGGAUAGGCGAAGCGUGCGAUUGGAUUGCACGUCUAAGCAGUAAGGCUGAGUAUUAGGCAAAUCCGGUACUCGUUAAGGCUGAGC